UUAAUUGAAGAGUUUGAUCAUGGCUCAGAUUGAACGCUGGCGGCAGGCCUAACACAUGCAAGUCGAGCGGAAACGGCRGUAUUGAAGCUUCKGUGGAUUUACUGGACGUCGAGCGGCGGACGGGUGAGUAACGGCUGGGAACCUGCCCUGACGAGGGGGAUAACCGUUGGAAACGACGGCUAAUACCGCAUAAUGUCUUAGUUCAUUACGAGCUGGGACCAAAGGUGGCCUCUACAUGUAAGCUAUCGCGUUGGGAUGGGCCCAGUUAGGAUUAGCUAGUUGGUAAGGUAAU
rnacentral:rRNA from 1 species